rnacentral:rRNA from 1 species
UACGGCAGCAGUGGGGAAUAUUGCACAAUGGGCGAAAGCCUGAUGCAGCUAUGCCGCGUGCAUGAAGAAGGCCUUAGGGUUGUAAAGUACUUUCAUCGGGGAGGAAAAACAAAACUAAUAAUUUUAUUUCUUGACGUUACCCGAAAAAGAAGCACCGGCUAACUCCGUGCCAGCAGCCGCGGUAAUACGGAGGGUGCUAGCGUUAAUCAGAAUUACUGGGCGUAAAGAGCACGUAGGUGGUUUUUUUAAGUCAGAUGUGAAAUCCCUGGGCUUAACCUAGGAACUGCAUUUUGAAACUGAAAUACUAGAGUAUCGUAGAGGGAGGUAGAAUUCUAGGUGUAGCGGUGAAAUGCGUAGAUAUCUGGAGGAAUACCUGUGGCGAAAGCGGCCUCCUAAACGAAUACUGACACUGAGGUGCGAAAGCGUGGGGAGCAAACAGGGAUUAGAUACC